AUGAGAGGAAUUUUUUGGAAUAGCAGAGGUCUGAAGGACUUGGCUAGAAGAAGAUUCCUGGCUGAGACAGCUUUAGAGCAGAAGCUAGAUUUUGUUGCUCUAUCAGAGACGGGUAGAGAUAACUUUGCACCGCAGUUUCUCUCCUCUCUGAUCGGUGGUAUUGAUUUUGAUUGGCAUUGCCUCCCUCCGCGAGGAAGAUCGGGUGGUAUCUUACUAGGUGUGAGAUGCGAUUCGCUUCAAGUCUGUAGUGUAGUGAUGGGCGACUUCGCGGUAAAGUUUCGAGUUAGGUCUAGGAUUGAUGGCUUUAACUGGGCUUUGGUGGCGGUAUAUGGUGCUGCGCAGCCAGAGUUUAAAGCGGAGUUUCUCGCGGACCUUGUUCGAAUCUGUGGGUCAGAGCAGCUGCCAAUCUUAGUUGGAGGUGAUUUCAAUAUCAUUAGGAGGAAAGAGGAGAAGAACAAUGAUAACUUUGAUGGCAGAUGGUCCUUCAUGUUCAACAUCAUUAUCGAAAGCUUGGAUCUGAGAGAGAUAGAGCUCUCUGGUCGAAAGUUUACAUGGGCUAACGCUCUGCCAAACCCAACCUACGAAAAACUUGAUCGAGUUCUUGCGAGCGUGGAGUGGGAACAAAAAUUCCCACUGGUUAUGGUGCAAGCUCUUUCGAGGGGAAUAUUUGAUCAUACCCCAUUGUUCGUGGACUCAGGGAAGCCGAACCACGUGGGUAACAAGAACACCUUCUCCUUCGAGACGUCAUGGUUUGAACGUGAGGGGUUCUUAGAUUUGAUUGCCAGGGAAUGGGUUAAAGAUGUACGAGGCAAAACUGCUAUUGAGCGGUGGCAGAAUAAGAUUAGGAACUUGAGAAGCUUCUUACGGGGUUGGGCUAAGCACCUUAGCGGUGUGUAUAAGAUUGAAAAGGAUAGACUCCUGACUCUUAUACAGGACCUGGACAUUCAGGCCGAAUCCAAUAUUUUGUCACCAGCAGAGCUUCAGGUUAAAAAUGAGGCGGAGGAGAGGUUAAAAGAACUACUCCGCGAAGAAGAACUGAAGUGGGCUUUGCGUGCUAAAGUACGCAAAGUGGUCCAGGGGGACGCCAAUACUCAGUUCUUCCAUUUGAUAGCUAAUGGCAAACACAGAAAGAAGCGAAUCUUUCAGCUUGAGCAGGACGAGGGUACUAUUUUAGAUCAGGAUAACCUAAAAACAUACAUUACCGACUAUUAUAAGCAGUUAUUUGGACCUCCGGAGGAUAAUACUGUGUCCCUUGAUGAGUCCAGAACUAAGGAUGUACCUCAGCUAUCGGCUGCUGAUAAUGAGAUUCUGGUUGCCCCGUUCUCGGAGAAGGAGGUUUUUGAUGCUAUUGCACAGAUGAAGAAUAAUAAGGCUCCCGGACCGGAUGGUUUCCCGGCUGAGUUCUAUAAGAAGUGCUGGCACAUUAUUAAGGGGGAUUUACUACCUAUGUUCCACGAUCUGUUCUCUGGACAGCUUCAAUUAUUCCACUUGAAUUUUGGGACUAUCACACUACUUCCUAAGAAGACGGAUGCUGUGAAAAUUGAGCAAUUCAGGCCGAUCUGUCUCCUUAAUGUUAGUUUCAAAAUUUUCACCAAGGUCGGGACUAACAGACUCACACAGAUUGCACAUUCUGUAGUGCAACAGUCCCAAACCGCUUUCAUGCCGGACAGAAAUAUCCUUGAAGGGGUGGUAGUCCUACAUGAAACGCUCCAUGAAAUCCAGUCUAAAAAAUUAGAUGGAGUGAUUUUUAAGGUGGAUUUCGAGAAAGCGUAUGAUAAGGUCAAAUGGCCAUUUCUCCAACAGUCUUUGCGUAUGAAAGGUUUUGAUGAAGCCUGA
rnacentral:rRNA from 1 species